UAUUAUGAUGAAUUGGCACUGGGCUCCGAUGCACACCAUGAGCAAGACAAGCCAUUUUGUGGCAGGCCUAGAAAACCUCGCCCACUGACC
rfam:Stachybotrys chartarum IBT 40288 unplaced genomic scaffold scaffold1093, whole genome shotgun sequence.